rnacentral:lncRNA from 1 species
ACUCAAUGUUUUGGUUCUGGGCCAUCUAGGAGGGGUGAAGUAUGUGCUUUAAGUGUUUUGUUGAAUAGGAAGAGACUCCAGCAAGUGCUUAAUGUUAUUAAGUGCUUAACUGUUUCUGUUGAAUCACCCCCUCCCCAGCUUUUAAAGUCAAUUCUAAACCCUUAGGCUGCAUCUGAAAGGAUUUGGAAAAGAAGUGGCAUCCAGACACUGCUGGGUGUUUGACCGCUGAGCUCAGCAUUCCUGCUUUGAAGGCCGGUUCCUCUGAAUCUGCUCUCACUGCUAUUCCAAACCAUCUCCACGGCUUGUCCCUGCCACCAGGUAGAAGAGUAUCUGAGACCAGGAUGGAAAUAGAUGGAAAACUUAUGCACAGAUGAAAGGCUUGAAAUGAAAUCCAUUAUGCAUGAGACGAACAGUUGGAAUCUGAGAAGCACUGGGAGGUUUGCAGGUGCCUGGGUAGAUAGAAAAUGCUUUCUUCCAGGACAAAAGCUUUCAUUAGAGAAG